GCAGUUCGAGCGGACAGAUGGGAGCUUGCUCCCUGAUGUUAGCGGCGGACGGGUGAGUAACACGUGGGUAACCUGCCUGUAAGACUGGGAUAACUCCGGGAAACCGGGGCUAAUACCGGAUGCUUGUUUGAACCGCAUGGUUCAAACAUAAAAGGUGGCUUCGGCUACCACUUACAGAUGGACCCGCGGCGCAUUAGCUAGUUGGUGAGGUAACGGCUCACCAAGGCAACGAUGCGUAGCCGACCUGAGAGGGUGAUCGGCCACACUGGGACUGAGACACGGCCCAGACUCCUACGGGAGGCAGCAGUAGGGAAUCUUCCGCAAUGGACGAAAGUCUGACGGAGCAACGCCGCGUGAGUGAUGAAGGUUUUCGGAUCGUAAAGCUCUGUUGUUAGGGAAGAACAAGUACCGUUCGAAUAGGGCGGUACCUUGACGGUACCUAACCAGAAAGCCACGGCUAACUACGUGCCAGCAGCCGCGGUAAUACGUAGGUGGCAAGCGUUGUCCGGAAUUAUUGGGCGUAAAGGGCUCGCAGGCCGUUCCUUAAGUCUGAUGUGAAAGCCCCCGGCUCAACCCGGGAAGGUCAUUGGAAACUGGGGAACUUGGAGUGCA
rnacentral:rRNA from 1 species